rnacentral:rRNA from 1 species
AGUGAACGCUGGCGGUAUGCCUAACACAUGCAAGUCGAACGGCAGCACAGUAAGAGCUUGCUCUUACGGGUGGCGAGUGGCGGACGGGUGAGGAAUACAUCGGAUUCUACUUUUUCGGGGGGGAUAACGUAGGGAAACUUACGCUAAUACCGCAUACGUCGUACGGGUGAAAGCAGGGGAUCUUCGGACCUUUCGCGAUUGUAUGAGCCGAUGUCGGAUUAGCUAGUUGGCUGGGUAAAGGCCCACCAAGGCGACGAUCCGUAGCUGGUCUGAGAGGAUGAUCAGCCACACUGGAACUGAGACACGGUCCAGACUCCUACGGGAGGCAGCAGUGGGGAAUAUUGGGCAAUGGGCGAAAGCCUGAUACAGCCAUACCGCGUGGGUGAAGAAGGCCUUCGGGUUGUAAAGCCCUGUUGUUGGGAAAGAAAAGCAGCAGGUUAAUACGCCGCUGUUCUGACGGUACCCAAAGAAUAAGCACCGGCUAACUUCGUG